CAAAAACAUGUCCUUUUGUUUAUGAUUUAAGGUCAGGCCUGCCCAAUGAUUAUUUUAAAUGGCCGCAGUAUUUUGACUGUGCAAAGGUAGCAUAAUCAUUAGUUUCUUAAUUAGAAGCUAGAAUGAAUGGUUUGAUGAAAAAUUAACUGUCUCUAUUUAAAUGAUUUUGAAUUUUAUUUUUAAGUGAAAAAGCUUAAAUUUAUUAUAAAGACGAGAAGACCCUAUAGAGUUUUAUAUUCUUAAUUAUUAAUUUUUUUAGGUUUUAUUUUAUUUUAAUAAUUGUGAUUAUUUUGUUGGGGUGAUGUCAAAAUUUAAUUAACUUUUGUUUUUGAAAACAUUUAUUUAUGAGUUGUUGAUCCUAAAAUUUAGAUUAUAAGAAAAAAUUACCUUAGGGAUAACAGCGUAAUUUUUUUGGAAAGUUCAUAUUGAUAAAAAAGUUUGCGACCUCGAUGUUGGAUUAAAAUUUAGUUUGGGU
rnacentral:rRNA from 1 species